ACGGCUCCUCCCACGACUUGCCCAGUUGAGGUCCUCUGUUACCACCAAACCCAAGGACCGUGGCAGCAUGUCCCCCAGGGGCUCUGCUCCGCUAAUUUGUGUCCUGUCCUGGGCUCCUGCUCACUGUGUGCAGCAGCUGACUCGGCACUACUGGCCCUUGGGGACUCGUGGGCAGCUCCUACUCACCAAGGUUCCUGUAGCCUGUGUCCCCUCAGUGGCCUGGCUGUCCUAGCUGAUGAUCCCUGGGGCUGUGCUGGUUUCACCUCAGGCUGCAAGAAGCAUAGUCGUGGCAGUGGCUGAGGACUCCAGGGAGGAGGUACACAGGUGUCCUGAUUGGCACCUGGAGACCCUGACGACUGAGUCAAGAUCAAGACACAAGUGCAAGACAUUGCUCACUUACUGUAGCUCCCUCUGGGGUUCUCUCCAUGCUUGGGCUGCUUGGCUGAGGGUAUCUUUCUUCACUGUGAAGCAGGCAAUGGAGGGAUCCUGAGGAGGAAAGUGUUCUCAAAGGCGAAGGAAGAUAAGGUAUGUUGAGGGCCCACCAUGCCUAAUGCACUGAACUACAUUACUCUUUGGAGAGGAAGUCCCUAGAAGAGAAGAGCUGGGAACUUGGACCCUCCUGGCCUUCCUAGGUCUUCCUAGAGGCUCUGCUGGAGGAAAUGAGAGAAUCAGGAGUAAUAAGAAACAAUGAGGCUCUUACAGCCCAGUUCUGAAACUUCAAUUCCCAGGGCUUCAGCCUCUCGGCCCAGACAGAGAAGAGGCACAGUAGCAGCAGGCUCUGAAAGAAACCAGCACCCUUCCCGCAUGCCGAGGCGUGGUCGCUGUCUGUGCCACUGCUGGGCAGGGCUCUGCUGGGCCCUGAACCUCCACCUCGCUCAGCUCCAGCAAAGACAGAUGCACUGCCCCAAAAGUCACCUGCUACUUCCUGUCCCUGAUAGCCACUUCAGACCUGAGCAUAAGCCACAUCCAGAAACACUGGAUCCUCUGGAAGAAAGACAAGGUUAGACAGAAGGCUGCAACCAACAGCACUUUCCCCAGCCACUUGCUGCGUGCCUCCCUUGAUGGCCCAAGAGAGUCUCAGCAGGACCUGGGCUGUAAAGGACAUCCCUACAAGCCUCACCUCACAGGUGAGCCCCUCCCUUGAAGCCUCUACCUGACAGCAGUACUUACCCUAGCUCUCUAUGGGCUCCUGGUCCUUGGCUAGGAAGAGUGAGUUAGAUACCUGAGCUGCAGAGGUUACUGAAAGUACAGAGACAUGGGUCAGUCCCUGAGAUAGUGAACUGGGGAGAAAUGCUGGCCAGGUGGCUAAAAGGUAGAUAGUGUCAGGGGAUCCAGCACUGGGAGAGGCACAGGGUCUGGCAAGGCUGGUUCGCUUGGUGCCUGAUACACCUGGAAAUGGGCAGUGCAGGUGAGGUCAGCCAGGAGCAAUGCUUAUGGUCUGGCAUGACCAAGAUGGAUCUAAGCUGGGAAACUUUCUCUCUCUCAAGUUCAGAGAAAACUAAUCACAUGAUUGGAAAUUUUCACCAACGGCAUUGCUCAUUAUCAUUUCCUCCAAAGAUCUAGACCAUGAACGUAUCUUUCUAUCAUAUUGGGCUCAUGUCCCAGAAAAGAUACGUCACUCCCAGUAACUCACGGUGCAACCCAGAUAAGAAAUGAAACUUUGACUUCAAACAAAGCUUUGUGUUCUCUGAUAUGUCUUGAAACUAUAUUAUUACAUCUAAAGGCAGCAAUGCAUCCUGCUGGCCAAAGUGGUUUAGACGAAGAUUCACAGUCUGAACAAGAAGGAGUCUUGGACACAAGAGUCAAAUGCAACAUCAAGGAAGAAAACGGGAUAAAAUUAUGUGAAUAGAUAUCAAUUGUCAUCAAGGCAGGGUUUUAGUGUACAUUUAAUGCAGUGUUUCUUUUUUGUGUUCUGAAAUGUGUCAUAAAACAUUGUCUUAAAUCUAUGGCAUGUGUAUCGAUUCUGGAGCCAGACUUCUGGGUUCAAAAUUAGACUUCAUCACUCGCUA